UCCCAGCCAGGAUAAUGAUGCCAAUGAAUAAUUCAUUGAGGAACUAAGACACACUUCCAAGUCAACUGCUCUUGUCUUAAUGGGGGAGUUCAGCAUGCCAGAAAUUAACUGGGAGCACCAUAUGACUGGUACCACCUAGGCAAGAAGAUUCGUAAAAAACCUGGAUGACAACUUUAUUGGACAGGUCAUAAGGGAGCUGGCUCAGAAAGAUGCCCUCCUUAAUCUGCUGCUUGUCAACAGAGUGGAUCUCAUGAGUGAAGUGGAGAUUGGUGGCCAUCUUGGCCACUGUGAACAUGAAGUGAUCAAAUGUUAAAUCUCUACUGACAGGAGGAAAAGUGCCAGCAAAAUCUCAGCUCUGGACAUGAGGAGAGCAGACUUCAGGCUGCUCAGGGAAUUAAUGACAGACCAAGGGAGUCUCAGUGCCCUGAGGUGGAGAUCUGUGAGAAUGAUCAACUCCCAGUUGACCCUGAAAUUGUGGAGGAUCUGCUGCUCCAGCUGAAUCCCUAAAGAUCUAUGGUGCCUGAUGGAAUUCAUCCAAGAAUCCUCAAAGAGCUGACUGAUGUCAUCACAAAACUUCUCUCAAUGGUUUUUGAGUGGUCUUGGGAAUCCAGAGAGGUCCCAGCUGACUGGAAGCUGGCAAGUGUUGUCUUGAUUUUCAAGAAGGGCAAGAAGGGGGACCCCAGAAACUAUGAGCCUGUCAGUCUCACUUGACUGCCUGGUAAAGUUAUGGAGAAGAUUAUUCUGGGAAGUAUUGAAAAACACCUGAAAGGCAACACUGUCAUCUGAUAGCUUGGA